UGGGGAAUAUUGCACAAUGGGCGCAAGCCUGAUGCAGCCAUGCCGCGUGUAUGAAGAAGGCCUUCGGGUUGUAAAGUACUUUCAGCGGGGAGGAAGGGAGUAAAGUUAAUACCUUUGCUCAUUGACGUUACCCGCAGAAGAAGCACCGGCUAACUCCGUGCCAGCAGCCGCGGUAAUACGGAGGGUGCAAGCGUUAAUCGGAAUUACUGGGCGUAAAGCGCACGCAGGCGGUUUGUUAAGUCAGAUGUGAAAUCCCCGGGCUCAACCUGGGAACUGCAUCUGAUACUGGCAAGCUUGAGUCUCGUAGAGGGGGGUAGAAUUCCAGGUGUAGCGGUGAAAUGCGUAGAGAUCUGGAGGAAUACCGGUUGCGAAGGCGGCCCCCUGGACGAAGACUGACGCUCAGGUGCGAAAGCGUGGGGAGCAAACAGG
rnacentral:rRNA from 1 species